UACGUAGGGGGCAAGCGUUACCCGGAUUUAUUGGGCGUAAAGGGCGCGUAGGCGGUGCGGUAAGUCUGAUGUGAAAUCUCCGGGCUCAACUCGGAGUCUGCAUCAGAAACUGCCGGGCUUGAGUAUGGGAGAGGUGAGUGGAAUUCCUGGUGUAGCGGUGAAAUGCGUAGAUAUCAGGAGGAACACCUGUGGCGAAAGCGGCUCACUGGACCAUAACUGACGCUGAUGCACGAAAGCCAGGGGAGCGAACGGG
rnacentral:rRNA from 1 species